UAGGGAAUCUUCGGCAAUGGACGAAAGUCUGACCGAGCAACGCCGCGUGAGUGAAGAAGGUUUUCGGAUCGUAAAACUCUGUUGUUAGAUAAGAACAAGGACGUUAGUAACUGAACGUCCCCUGACGGUAUCUAACCAGAAAGCCACGGCUAACUACGUGCCAGCAGCCGCGGUAAUACGUAGGUGGCAAACGUUGUCCGGAUUUAUUGGGCGUAAAGCGAGCGCAGGCGGUUUCUUAAGUCUGAUGUGAAAGCCCCCGGCUCAACCGGGGAGGGUCAUUGGAAACUGGGAGACUUGAGUGCAGAAGAGGAGAGUGGAAUUCCAUGUGUAGCGGUGAAAUGCGUAGAUAUAUGGAGGAACACCAGUGGCGAAGGCGGCUCUCUGGUCUGUAACUGACGCUGAGGCUCGAAAGCGUGGGGAGCAAACAGG
rnacentral:rRNA from 1 species